AACGAACGCUGGCGGCAUGCCUAACACAUGCAAGUCGAACGAACCCUUCGUGGUUUUUGGCGCACGGGUUCGUAACGCGUGGUAAUCUGCCCUUUGCUUCGGUAUAACUCAGUGAAACUUGUUCUAAUACCGGUUGAUGUCUUCGGACCAAAGAUUUAUCGGCAAGGGAUGAGCCCGCGUAUGUUUAGGUAGUUGGUGGGGUAAAGGCGUACCAAGCCGACGAUCCUUAGCUGGUCUGAGAGGAUGAUCAGACACACUGGGACUGAGACACGGCCGAGACUACUACGGGAGGGAGGAGAGGGGAAUAUUGGAAAAUGGGGGAAAGGAUGAAAAAGCAAUGACGCGAGAGUGAUGAAGGGGGUAGGGAAGUAAAGCACAUUUAACAGGGAAGAUAAUGACAGUAACUGGAGAAUAAGCACCGGCUAACUACGUG
rnacentral:rRNA from 1 species